GCCGGUCCCAGCCGAGAAGCCCCGGAGAAGGCAGGCUGGCGCCACGCCGCAGCCGGGAGCGCUCACCGGCGGGGGACUCGCCGCAGCCCCUUCCCCCUCGGGCCCCUUCCCCCUGGGGGGGCCCCUCCUCCGGGGGGGCCCCCUCCUCCGGGCCUCCCCCGGCCUCCCUGAAACAAAACCCUGGUUUCGGGGCCCAGAGAAGACUCAGCAGCUUCUUCCAGGGAGUCCCUGGCCCCGCUGCCAACACCACCGGACCGGGAGCAGGGCCUGGCCCCAUCCUUUUUAUCAGGGGAUGGCGACGACAGAGGGCAAGGGCGAAAACUGGGGUGACUCGGAUGCGAGUGGAAGCCCCCGCAUCUGGUAGAAGGGGGGACGCGGAACGCCAGGCGUUAUAUGUCCUAGGGAGAGUGCGGGUGACCCUCCGCAACUGGGGAGCGCAAGCCCCGGGAGCCAGGUGAACUGGGUCAACCAAUGUAACAAUGCAGAGCCCUCUGUAUGCAUAAUGGAAACCCAGGGCCUCUCUCUCAAGAGCCCCAGGAAGGACGAAGUGGAAGGGUGAACCCUGAAAUGGAGUACGGGGCAGACUAGGCUUUCUAGCAUGACACUGAGUAGUAGCAGCACCGAGCUCCAACUCCAGAGCUAAGAGAAAUGGUUUGAAUUCCACGUCCUCCUCUCAAUAGCCGUGGGAACUUGGAUAAAGUAUUUUAUCUCUAUCAUCACGCGCCAACACUGGGAACACAGAGAUAACUAAGCACCACGCCUUGUUUCAAGGAACUCCAGGCGGAUGAGUGCCUUGGUGCAAAUGCUGCCCCCAGCAACCAUGCUGCCACAGCCUGUUCACAUGAACUCUCAGCUAAUACUCACACCCUCGUCUGUAAGUCACUUCCUGUGAAAGCAUCUGCCAAUGUUGAACACUAUACUUGAGAACCUAGGAGAGUAGAGAAUGCCUCCCAUUCUGAGAGAGCCUGGAGCACUUCAGGAAGCAAGAGGAAAAUUGUGCUCAAUGCUAAUUCCCUUCCAGCGCAGGGAAGACAAAAGUGGUUCAUGUACGAUCUCGGCCCAGGAGCCACUUCAUACCAGCCAGAGUCUGCGUGGGUACGUACUGGGGAGAGCAAGGGAGAUUCCAGCCAGGGGCCCUUCUGACUUUAUCCAGUGGUCUGCCCAAUUCCAGUGGCAGCUGGCAGGUGACCUGUGUGGCCAAAGACUGAUGGCUCCCUGGGCCAUUACAGAUUCUACAAAAGAAGAGCAGCAUAUCACCCAGUCUCUUCCUAUCAACAACAGACUUCUCAGCACCGGCUCUAAGCAGCAUCUACUCCCAGGAGAGGAAUGCAGGGCAAGAGCAAACAUGGUGAGGUGGCUGCACUUCUCCACCCUUCACUCGCUUCAUUUUUCCAGGGCUCUUCUUGCUCAAAUAUCAAGCAAAGCCCUAGGGGCUGUACCAAGAGGGUAACCUGUAGCCCAUCAGUAGGAAAUGACUGUGGCCUGCAGGUGCUUUGCUGGAGAGUUGCAGAAGGCUGGGGCCUCAGGGCCUUUUAGUUACUAGGAAAUAAUGGGCUGUGACUAUAUUAUAAAUGAGUCCAAAGGUUAGCAGGGAGCAGGUGGGCAGGCAGAUACCAGGAUCCAUAGAGAAGGAAGGGAAAGAUGGAGAGGAUGAGCACAAAUUUAAUGAGCACUCUUUAAUUUGCCCAUGGUCACACGGCUGGCCAGGCAGACUGAACCCAGUUCCACAUGACUUUCCCUAACCCUGUGCUCUUAUCUUACCCCAUCUGCUGGACUGCCAAGGCUCACUGGGUGAGUUGGUACACAGGGCAUCGCUGUAGAAAAAGGCACUGGAAGGUUUCGGGAUUUGGUAAAUUGACCCCUGGGCCUGAAAACUCAAGAGGAAAUUAGCAUUUGUUUUCUCUGUCAAUAAAGGACCUCAGUAUUUUAUUUCCUUGUCUCGGUAAAUGUAUUUUCCAGUGUUAGGGAAAUUUCCCCUGUACCUGCUUCCCUCACAGGGCUAAGUGUCCUAGGUCAGAUGU
ensembl:lncRNA